ACGCUCGACACCUACGGGGGCAGCAGUGGGGAAUAUUGCACAAUGGGGGAAACCCUGAUGCAGCGACGCCGCGUGAGCGAAGAAGUAUUUCGGUAUGUAAAGCUCUAUCAGCAGGGAAGAAAUUGACGGUACCUGACUAAGAAGCACCGGCUAAAUACGUGCCAGCAGCCGCGGUAAUCUGAGCGGGCUGGCAAGGC
rnacentral:rRNA from 1 species